rnacentral:rRNA from 1 species
AGAGUUUGAUCCUGGCUCAGGAUGAACGCUAGCUACAGGCUUAACACAUGCAAGUCGAGGGGCAGCAUGGUCUUAGCUUGCUAAGGCCGAUGGCGACCGGCGCACGGGUGAGUAACACGUAUCCAACCUGCCGUCUACUCUUGGACAGCCUUCUGAAAGGAAGAUUAAUACAAGAUGGCAUCAUGAGUCCGCAUGUUCACAUGAUUAAAGGUAUUCCGGUAGACGAUGGGGAUGCGUUCCAUUAGAUAGUAGGCGGGGUAACGGCCCACCUAGUCUUCGAUGGAUAGGGGUUCUGAGAGGAAGGUCUCCCACAUUGGAACUGAGACACGGUCCAAACUCCUACGGGAGGCAGCAGUGAGGAAUAUUGGUCAAUGGUCGGCAGACUGAACCAGCCAAGUCGCGUGAGGGAAGACGGCCCUACGGGUUGUAAACCUCUUUUGUCGGAGAGUAAAGUACGCUGCGUGUAGCGUAUUGCAAGUAUCCGAAGAAAAAGCAUCGGCUAACUCCGUGCCAGCAGCCGCGGUAAUACGGAGGAUGCGAGCGUUAUCCGGAUUUAUUGGGUUUAAAGGGUGCGUAGGCGGCACGCCAAGUCAGCGGUGAAAUUUUCGGGCUCAACCCGGACUGUGCCGUUGAAACUGGCGAGCUAGAGUGCACAAGAGGCAGGCGGAAUGCGUGGUGUAGCGGUGAAAUGCAUAGAUAUCACGCAGAACCCCGAUUGCGAAGGCAGCCUGCUAGGGUGCGACAGACGCUGAGGCACGAAAGCGUGGGUAUCGAACAGGAUUAGAUACCCUGGUAGUCCACGCAGUAAACGAUGAAUACUAACUGUUUGCGAUACAAUGUAAGCGGUACAGCGAAAGCGUUAAGUAUUCCACCUGGGGAGUACGCCGGCAACGGUGAAACUCAAAGGAAUUGACGGGGGCCCGCACAAGCGGAGGAACAUGUGGUUUAAUUCGAUGAUACGCGAGGAACCUUACCCGGGCUCAAACGCAGGGGGAAUAUAUAUGAAAGUAUAUAGCUAGCAAUAGUCACCUGCGAGGUGCUGCAUGGUUGUCGUCAGCUCGUGCCGUGAGGUGUCGGCUUAAGUGCCAUAACGAGCGCAACCCCUAUCGACAGUUACUAACGGGUGAAGCCGAGGACUCUGUCGAGACUGCCGGCGCAAGCCGCGAGGAAGGUGGGGAUGACGUCAAAUCAGCACGGCCCUUACGUCCGGGGCGACACACGUGUUACAAUGGCAGGUACAGAAGGCAGCCAGUCAGCAAUGACGCGCGAAUCCCGAAAACCUGUCUCAGUUCGGAUUGGAGUCUGCAACCCGACUCCAUGAAGCUGGAUUCGCUAGUAAUCGCGCAUCAGCCAUGGCGCGGUGAAUACGUUCCCGGGCCUUGCACACACCGCCCGUCA